UUCCGGUUGAUCCUGCCGGAGGACAUUGCUAUUGGGAUUCGAUUUAGCCAUGCUAGUCGGACGAGUUUAGACUCGUGGCAGAUAGCUCAGUAACACGUGGCCAAGCUACCCUUCAGUCGGCAAUACCCUCGGGAAACUGAGGUUAACGGCCGAUGUGGGACGCCUGCUGGAAUGCGGCGUUCUCUAAAGGCGACGCUGAAGGAUGCGGCUGCGGCCGAUUAGGUUGACGGUGGGGUAACGGCCCACCAUGCCAGUAAUCGGUACGGGUGAUGAGAGUCAGAGCCCGGAGACGGAAUCUGAGACAAGAUUCCGGGCCCUACGGGGCGCAGCAGGCGCGAAACCUUUACACUGCACGGAAGUGCGAUAGGGGAAUCCCAAGUGCGAGGGCAUAUUCGCCCUCGCUUUUGUUGACCGUAAGGUGGUCAACGAAUAAGAGCUGGGCAAGACCGGUGCCAGCCGCCGCGGUAAUACCGGCAGCUCGAGUGAUGUCCAAUAUUAUUGGGCCUAAAGCGUCCGUAGCUGGCCGCGCAGGUCCGUCGGGAAAUCCACCUGCCCAACAGGUGGGCGUCCGGCGGAAACUGUGUGGCUUGGAACCGGAAGGCUCAGAGGGUACGUCCGGGGUAGGAGUGAAAUCCCGUAAUCCCGGACGGACCACCGAUGGCGAAAGCACCCUGAGAAGACGGCUUCGACAGUGAGGGACGAAAGCUAGGGUCUCAAACCGGAUUAGAUACCCCGGUAGUC
rnacentral:rRNA from 1 species